rnacentral:rRNA from 1 species
UGGGGAAUCUUGCGCAAUGGCCGCAAGGCUGACGCAGCGACGCCGCGUGCGGGAGGACGCCCUUCGGGGUGUAAACCGCUGUUGCCCGGGACGAACGAGCGGUUUCGACCGCUGUGACGGUACCGGGUGAGGAAGCACCGGCUAACUCCGUGCCAGCAGCCGCGGUAAUACGGAGGGUGCGAGCGUUGUCCGGAAUCACUGGGCGUAAAGGGCGCGUAGGCGGCUUUUUAAGUGUGCGGUGAAAGCCCGGGGCUCAACCCCGGGUCGGCCGUGCAAACUGGGAGGCUUGAGCACUGUAGAGGCGGGUGGAAUUCCGGGUGUAGCGGUGGAAUGCGUAGAGAUCCGGAAGAACACCGGUGGCGAAGGCGGCCCGCUGGGCAGGAGCUGACGCUGAUGCGCGACAGCGUGGGGAGCAAACAGGAUUAGAUACCCGUGUAGUCC